rnacentral:rRNA from 1 species
UACGUAGGGUGCAAGCGUUGUCCGGAAUUAUUGGGCGUAAAGAGCUCGUAGGCGGUUUGUCGCGUCGGCUGUGAAAUCCCGAGGCUCAACCUCGGGCCUGCAGUGGGUACGGGCAAACUAGAGUGCGGUAGGGGAGAUUGGAAUUCCUGGUGUAGCGGUGGAAUGCGCAGAUAUCAGGAGGAACACCGAUGGCGAAGGCAGAUCUCUGGGCCGUAACUGACGCUGAGGAGCGAAAGCGUGGGGAGCGAACAGG